GAGAUAUGUACUAUUAUAAUUUAUAAAUGAAAAAGCUUCUUUCCAAGCCCAACUGUACAUACAUACAUGAUGUACAUAUAUAUUCACGCACUGUGAAGAAGCACAUGUUACAUGGUAGGUAAUUUCACAAGUUUCCCAUCUUAAGUUUGGCAGGACACCUGAAAGCACACAUGAUGAGAAGAGAUCCUUAAGUUAUCAUUGAAGCAGAGAUCGUUCAACCAAGAAGGCAAGAAUCUUUCAUUGAUAGACAAACCAUAUCUGAAAGAACACCAAGUAACAAUCUCCAACCAGAAAAAUAAUAAUCUCCAUCAGAUAUUGUAGCUGCUAUAUUGAAUCCUAAUACAUCGCACUUCAAGUAAUUUAAAUAUUCUAUAUGAUUGUGUGAUUAUGGCAGAGUAUGAGAAGAUAACCAUGUCUAAAAUUGAACAACACUUGCUUUCCUGAAUACAAAGACACACCAACUGCAUUCUCAUAAUAUACAACGGACACCGGAUGCCAAAAUGUGUUCAGUCCCUAAAAGAUUCAAGAGAGGUGUGUAUAUGCAAAUAUAGAAAUGUUUCCUUAAAAUAAUUUCAAGAAUUUCAUUCUUCCUGAGAAAUAAAACGAAAGAGAGCUAGUACAAUUGCAUCAAAACUAAAAAAGCAAUGAAUGUGAAAACAAGAUGCAAUUCAGUAAUGAGAUCCAAAGGACAAUCUACCACUACAAGAACCCAAACUCAACUCCCUGAAACCCACAACCCCUCUAUAAACAGAAAAUCUAAAUUUGAUGAAAAGUAAAAUCUUGAUAUAAAUGCAUACAUAGAACAAAUACUGUUGCCUUCACCAAGAAAAAAAAUCUUGACUUUGCAAAUUCCUUAGUACCAAACACAGCUAAAAUUUCAAUACAAUUUAUGAUGGACUUACAGUAAUAAGAGGGUUUCAAAAGCUUCUUCCCAACAACAUUUAAAAUGCUUUGCUUCUAGAAACUGGUUCUUGAGGACAUGCACCCCUAUCUGUUGGCAAAGAAGAUGGUGGAGUGUCACUUCGUACCCGACUGGAAUUGGAUUCAGUGCCAUGACACUGUGUGGCCAAGUAUUCGAGGGCAACAACUAUAUCACCAAUCAGAGGGCGAAAAUGUGCUUCUUCAUGAAGACACAUUGCAGUGAUAGCAAUUGCAUAGUUCAAACAACGGCGAGGGUAGCGCCCUUCCAACAGAGGAUCAACCAAUUGGUAAAACUUUUUCUGAUCCUUCAGAAAUUGACGAGACCAGGCAACUAGGUUCUGCUCUCCUGGCCUCUUAGAUCGAUCUAUUGCCUUUCGCCCAGUGAUUAACUCCAACAGAACAACACCAAAGCUAUAAAUAUCAGAUUUAAGAGUCAAUUUGCCACUCAUGGCAUACUCUGGCGCACAGUAUCCAUAUGUUCCCAUAACUCUGGUUGAAACAUGUGUCUUUUCACCAACAGGUCCCAGUUUUGCAAGUCCAAAAUCUGAUAAUUUUGGAUUGAAAUCAGCAUCUAGCAAGAUAUUUGCAGAUUUCAGGUCACGGUAAAUAACAGGAGGAUUCGCUUUGCAAUGUAGGUACUCAAGGCCCUGAGCAGCACCAACAGCAAUUUUCAUCCGAGUGCUCCAAUUCAAUGGCUCUUUAUCAGGUUCGAGAUCAAAUAGAUGGUCUUCCAAACUACCCAUUGGCAUGUACUCAUAAACCAAUAGUCUUUGAUCACCAGCAGUGCAGUAGCCAAUCAAAGUCACAAGAUUGGGAUGGUGCAACAGGCUCAACAUGAGAACCUCCACAAUAAAUUCCUGAAACCCUUGAACACCAUCAUGAUUAAGUUGUUUCACUGCAACAAUCUCGCUAGAUUCUAAGCGGCCUUUGUAAACCCUCCCAAAACCUCCCUCCCCAAUCAAAUUCGUCUCUCUAAAAUUGCUGGUCGCCGCGGCAAGCUCGCGAAAUGUGAAACUCCGAGCGCCACUGGCGUCUGUAGUCUUUCUACCAUUCACCUUUCUAUUACCAUGUGAACUCGACCUUCCCCUCCCGCUACCUGAGGAAUCAGAAGAAUGGCGUGGGGUAGAUCGAAGGCCAUUUUCAGUGUCGAUCUUAGUAUCAUUUUUGUGAGAACCUAUGCAAGAAAAGCACCUCAUCUCUUGAUAAUAGAACAAUUCUCACAAUCAACAAACCACUGAACAACACUACAUUUAAAAAUUCAUCGGAACCCUAACCCUCGACCAGGGGGACACGCAAAGAAAAAACCUUUAUUUCGUUUCCUUCCCCCCCUGCCCCAGGAGAGGAAAGACCAAGAGAAACCCAAGAACCCAAAUGCCCAAUGACUACAAUCCGGAGAAAGAAAAUUAAAAAUUAUAACAAUAUUAGUAUAUACUAAAAAUUUCCACAAAUAGAAGCAAAAAUCUCCCAAGUAAAUAGCUCUGAAAUGUAAUGCAAGCUUUAAGGAAGGGCAAAAUAGAAAAUGAUAGGAGGGAAAUAUCCGAGUAAAGUCGCAGCUAAAUUUAGUAACGCAGAAACAAAACAAAUUAAGCGGCAGAUUUAGCGGCAAAUGGGACUGUGCAAGAUAAAAAAAGGAAAAAAAUUUGCAAAGAUCAUGAUGAGAUGAGCAUUGGGUUCCCUUAGGCUUUGGAUGAAGUGGGCCUGCUUUUGUUCUUUUCUUUUUUCUUUAUGUAAUAUUUUUAACAUAUGGGAUUGUUUUUUGCAUUAAUGUUUGUGUAUGAUUGCUGUACAAGUCGCUCUCCAUCCUUCUCACACUCACAUAGGAAAGCUAGAUAGAUAGA
rnacentral:misc_RNA from 1 species